rnacentral:misc_RNA from 1 species
GAUGAAGAACGCAGCGAAAUGCGAUAAGUAAUGUGAAUUGCAGAAUUCAGUGAAUCAUCGAAUCUUUGAACGCACCUUGCGCUCUUUGGUAUUCCGAAGAGCAUGCCUGUUUGAGUGUCAUGAAAAUAUCAACCUUGACUUGGGUUUUGUGCUCUAGUCUCGGCUUGGAAUUGGGUGCUUGCCGCUUUUACGAGCGGCUCACCUUAAAUGUAUUAGCUGGAUCUGUCUUUGAGACUUGGUUUGACUUGGCGUAAUAAGUAUUUCGCUAAGGACAUUCUUCGGAGUGGCCUCGUUUCUAGGACGCUUGUCCGCUUUCCAAUACAAGUUCCACCUCGUGGACAUGGCUUUUUAUUAUCUGGCCUCAAAUCAGGUAGGACUACCCGCUGAACUUAAGCAUAUCAAUAAGCGGAGGA